UCUUCAAGGUCUUGUGCAAAGCAUAAAUUCGCAUGAAAAUGAAGUUAUUGCAGUUCAAGCAUCAGACAGCUAACCAGGUAAGUCUUACUGUUGCUUGCAGAAAUGAUUUUACAAUAUUUUGCAAUUUAUUAAUGUUUUUUUUUCUCUCAUGCAUUCUUUGGGUAAUUCUAAUAGGUAUUUUUGCAACUUUUAAAUCACAAACCCUUAAGGAUUGUGCUGUAAUUCUGAUUUCUUAAAGCAAAGACACUGUAUUGUUACUGACUUGUAAUUCAUCUUCAGAUCAAUUAUACAGAGAUUAUUUCAUUUUUUCUUUCUGAGAGCUCUGUGGUUUUUGUAUAUAUUUCAAAAUAGGAAGUUACGCUGAUGAAUUUUUACCAUGCUAAACAGUUUAAGUCCCUGCUUAAUCAUAGGCAUUCAUGUUGGUUGUUUCAUGCUUUAACUUCUUUUCUAGACUGAACUAGUUUUUAACAGGCUUAUAAUAUUGAGUUGAAAGAAAAAGCAUUGUGCAAUAUAUAUAUAGUACUUUUUAAUUUAUACAUUUAUGUUGCAGGUUUACUCUUUAUACUCUUGACACAAGCAGAUUUGAUCUUGAUUCAGCUCGUUGUUCCUUUUUCCUAUGCAUAUACUUCUUUGAGAAUUGGAUCUAAAGAAGCAUAAGGCAUGGGAAAAUGGGGCGACUGAGGUACUUCACCAUCCAUUCCAAACAGCAUUGUCAAGACAACUACAGAAAUGUAUGGAGAACACAGACAUAUGAAGAACUGAAAGGUCUCUUUGAAGAGGAACUGUAGAAAUUAUUUACUCCACCUCCCCCCCAUUAACAUUAAACAUUUUUUUAUGUUUCUGUCCAACUACUUUUUUUUAGCCUAAAUAAAAAUUAAUCAUAUCAGUUCUGGAAAAAAACAUUGUUAUGAAACAAUGUAACUGUACAUACCACAUAUCAAAUAAAAAUCUAAUAUUUCAGACACAGAUCAAAAGUUUGUGUUAUCCUACAUCCCAAAUUCUAUCCAGGUUUGUAAAACUAUAUGCUUAGAAAAAACAACACUGGGUGCAUUACAAGCCAUUUUUCUCAGUUAUUAUUAUUCCAUACUAUUCCAGCCUAAAUUGCUAUUUCAACAAGCUACUGUUUCAUUUGUCUCUAACACUACUAUCAGAGCACAAUCCUAUUUACAUGUCACUUUUUCUUGUUUAAAUUAAAAGACAAUAAAAAGAGCAUACACAACUGUAU